UUAAGCGACUAAGCGUACACGGUGGAUGCCCUGGCAGUCAGAGGCGAUGAAGGACGUGCUAAUCUGCGAAAAGCGUCGGUAAGGUGAUAUGAACCGUUAUAACCGGCGAUGUCCGAAUGGGGAAACCCAGUGCAAUUCGUUGCACUAUCGUUAACUGAAUACAUAGGUUAACGAGGCGAACCGGGGGAACUGAAACAUCUAAGUACCCCGAGGAAAAGAAAUCAACCGAGAUUCCCCCAGUAGCGGCGAGCGAACGGGGAGCAGCCCAGAGUCUGAAUCAGCUUGUGUGUUAGUGGAACGGUCUGGAAAGUCCGACGGUACAGGGUGAUAGUCCCGUACACCAAAAUGCACAGGCUGUGAACUCGAAGAGUAGGGCGGGACACGUGGUAUCCUGUCUGAAUAUGGGGGGACCAUCCUCCAAGGCUAAAUACUCCUGACUGACCGAUAGUGAACCAGUACCGUGAGGGAAAGGCGAAAAGAACCCCGGCGAGGGGAGUGAAAAAGAACCUGAAACCGUGUACGUACAAGCAGUGGGAGCACCUUCGGGUGUGACUGCGUACCUUUUGUAUAAUGGGUCAGCGACUUAUAUUCUGUAGCAAGGUUAACCGUAUAGGGGAGCCGCAGGGAAACCGAGUCUUAACUGGGCGUUAAGUUGCAGGGUAUAGACCCGAAACCCGGUGAUUCAGCCAUGGGCAGGUUGAAGGUUGGGUAACACUAACUGGAGGACCGAACCGACUAAUGUUGAAAAAUUAGCGGAUGACUUGUGGCUGGGGGUGAAAGGCCAAUCAAACCGGGAGAUAGCUGGUUCUCCCCGAAAGCUAUUUAGGUAGCGCCUCGUGAAUUCAUCUUCGGGGGUAGAGCACUGUUUCGGCUAGGGGGUCAUCCCGACUUACCAACCCGAUGCAAACUACGAAUACCGAAGAAUGUUAUCACGGGAGACACACGGCGGGUGCUAACGUCCGUCGUGAAGAGGGAAACAACCCAGACCGCCAGCUAAGGUCCCAAAGUCAUGGUUAAGUGGGAAACGAUGUGGGAAGGCACAGACAGCCAGGAUGUUGGCUUAGAAGCAGCCAUCAUUUAAAGAAAGCGUAAUAGCUCACUGGUCGAGUCGGCCUGCGCGGAAGAUGUAACGGGGCUAAACCAUGCACCGAAGCUGCGGCAGCGACACUAUGUGUUGUUGGGUAGGGGAGCGUUCUGUAAGCCUGCGAAGGUGUGCUGUGAGGCAUGCUGGAGGUAUCAGAAGUGCGAAUGCUGACAUAAGUAACGAUAAAGCGGGUGAAAAGCCCGCUCGCCGGAAGACCAAGGGUUCCUGUCCAACGUUAAUCGGGGCAGGGUGAGUCGACCCCAAGGCGAGGCCGAAAGGCGUAGUCGAUGGGAAACAGGUUAAUAUUCCUGUACUUGGUGUUACUGCGAAGGGGGACGGAGAAGGCUAUGUUAGCCGGGCGACGGUUGUCCCGGUUUAAGAUGUAGGCUGAUUAUCCAGGCAAAUCCGGAUAAUCAAGGCUGAGGUGUGAUGACGAGGCACUACGGUGCUGAAGUAACAAAUGCCCUGCUUCCAGGAAAAGCCUCUAAGCAUCAGGUAACAUCAAAUCGUACCCCAAACCGACACAGGUGGUCAGGUAGAGAAUACCAAGGCGCUUGAGAGAACUCGGGUGAAGGAACUAGGCAAAAUGGUGCCGUAACUUCGGGAGAAGGCACGCUGGUGUGUAGGUGAAGCCCCUGCGGGUGGAGCUGAGACCAGUCGAAGAUACCAGCUGGCUGCAACUGUUUAUUAAAAACACAGCACUGUGCAAACACGAAAGUGGACGUAUACGGUGUGACGCCUGCCCGGUGCCGGAAGGUUAAUUGAUGGGGUUAUCCGUAAGGAGAAGCUCUUGAUCGAAGCCCCGGUAAACGGCGGCCGUAACUAUAACGGUCCUAAGGUAGCGAAAUUCCUUGUCGGGUAAGUUCCGACCUGCACGAAUGGCGUAAUGAUGGCCAGGCUGUCUCCACCCGAGACUCAGUGAAAUUGAACUCGCUGUGAAGAUGCAGUGUACCCGCGGCAAGACGGAAAGACCCCGUGAACCUUUACUAUAGCUUGACACUGAACAUUGAGCCUUGAUGUGUAGGAUAGGUGGGAGGCUUUGAAGCGUGGACGCCAGUCUGCGUGGAGCCAACCUUGAAAUACCACCCUUUAAUGUUUGAUGUUCUAACGUUGGCCCCUUACCGGGGUUGCGGACAGUGUCUGGUGGGUAGUUUGACUGGGGCGGUCUCCUCCCAAAGCGUAACGGAGGAGCACGAAGGUUAGCUAAUCCUGGUCGGACAUCAGGAGGUUAGUGCAAUGGCAUAAGCUAGCUUGACUGCGAGCGUGACGGCGCGAGCAGGUGCGAAAGCAGGUCAUAGUGAUCCGGUGGUUCUGAAUGGAAGGGCCAUCGCUCAACGGAUAAAAGGUACUCCGGGGAUAACAGGCUGAUACCGCCCAAGAGUUCAUAUCGACGGCGGUGUUUGGCACCUCGAUGUCGGCUCAUCACAUCCUCGGGCUGAAGUAGGUCCCAAGGGUAUGGCUGUUCGCCAUUUAAAGUGGUACGCGAGCUGGGUUUAGAACGUCGUGAGACAGUUCGGUCCCUAUCGCCGUGGGCGCUGGAGAAUUGAGGGGCUGCUCCUAGUACGAGAGGACCGGAGUGGACGCAUCACUGGUGUUCGGGUUGUCAUGCCAAUGGCACUGCCCGGUAGCUAAAUGCGGAAGAGAUAAGUGCUGAAAGCAUCUAAGCACGAAACUUGCCCCGAGAUGAGUUCUCCCUGAGACUUUAAGUCUCCUGAAGGAACGUUGAAGACGACGACGUUGAUAGGCCGGGUGUGUAAGCGCAGCGAUGCGUUGAGCUAACCGGUACUAAUGAACCGUGAGGCUUAACCU
rnacentral:rRNA from 1 species